rnacentral:rRNA from 1 species
GGUGAACGCUGGCGGCGUGCUUAACACAUGCAAGUCGAACGAGAACGGAAUAUAGCUUGCUAUAUUUGUCAGCUAAGUGGCGCACGGGUGAGUAAUGUAUAGAUAACCUGCCCUUAAGAAAGGAAUAACAGUUGGAAACGACUGCUAAUGCCCUAUAUGCCUUUAAUACAUAAGUAUGCAAGGGAAACGCUUUAGUGCUUAAGGAUGGGUCUGUAUGGUAUCAGCUUGUUGGUGAGGUAAUGGCUCACCAAGGCUAUGACGCCUAACUGGUUUGAGAGGAUGAUCAGUCACACUGGAACUGAGACACGGUCCAGACUCCUACGGGAGGCAGCAGUGGGGAACAUUGCACAAUGGACGAAAGUCUGAUGCAGCAACGCCGCGUGGAGGAUGACACAUUUCGGUGCGUAAACUCCUUUUAUAUAGGAAGAUAAUGACGGUACUAUAUGAAUAAGCACCGGCUAACUCCGUGCCAGCAGCCGCGGUAA